rnacentral:rRNA from 1 species
GCAGCCGCCGCGGGAAUACGUAGGUCCCGAGCGUUGUCCGGAUUUAUUGGGCGUAAAGGGAGCGCAGGCGGUUUAGUAAGUCUGAAGUUAAAGGCAUUGGCUCAACCAAUGUAUGCUUUGGAGACUGUUAGACUUGAGUGCAGAAGGGGAGAGUGGAAUUCCAUGUGUAGCGGUGAAAUGCGUAGAUAUAUGGAGGAACACCGGUGGCGAAAGCGGCUCUCUGGUCUGUCACUGACGCUGAGGCUCGAAAGCGUAGGUAGCGAACAGGAUUAGAUACCCCAGUAGUCCCUGUCUCUUAUACA